AUUGAACGCUGGCGGCAGGCCUAACACAUGCAAGUCGAACGAGUAGCGGACGGGUGAGUAAUGUCUGGGAAACUGCCUGAUGGAGGGGGAUAACUACUGGCAACCGUAGCUAAUACCGCAUACCAUCAGAUGGGCCCAGAGGGGAUUAGCUAGUUGGGGGGGUAACGGCUCACCAAGGCGACGAUCCCUAGCUGGUCUGCGAGGAUGACCAGCCACACUUGCACUGUGACACGGUCCAGACGCCUACGGGAGGCACCAGUGGGGAAUAUUGCACAAUGGGCGCAAGCCUGAUGCAGCCAUGCCGCGUGUAUGAAGAAGGCCUUCGGGUUGUAAAUUACUUUCAGCUGGGAGGCGUUACCCACAGAAGAAGCACCGGCUAACUCCGUGCCAGCAGCCGCGGUAAUUC
rnacentral:rRNA from 1 species